rnacentral:rRNA from 1 species
AUGGACGCUGGCGGCGUGCUUAACACAUGCAAGUCGAACGGUGAAGGCGGAGCUUGCUCUGCUGGAUCAGUGGCGAACGGGUGAGUAACACGUGAGCAAUCUGCCCCUGACUCUGGGAUAAGCGCUGGAAACGGCGUCUAAUACUGGAUACGAGCUGCGAAGGCAUCUUCAGCAGCUGGAAAGAACUUCGGUCAGGGAUGAGCUCGCGGCCUAUCAGCUUGUUGGUGAGGUAACGGCUCACCAAGGCGUCGACGGGUAGCCGGCCUGAGAGGGUGACCGGCCACACUGGGACUGAGACACGGCCCAGACUCCUACGGGAGGCAGCAGUGGGGAAUAUUGCACAAUGGGCGAAAGCCUGAUGCAGCAACGCCGCGUGAGGGACGACGGCCUUCGGGUUGUAAACCUCUUUUAGCAGGGAAGAAGCGAAAGUGACGGUACCUGCAGAAAAAGCGCCGGCUAACUACGUG